AUUCACUACUUCACGACUUUAAACGUCUCUAUUCGUUUCCUUUCUUAUAUUUCCCUUUCAUUAGUUUAUGCACCUCUUAGCGUUGGAACAUUCUCUUUGGCUUUUCAUGCAUAGUCCACACCAGUUAUUUGCUAGAUUCCAUCUUUCCGGUUGUAGAUACCGGGGUCAUCAUCUAGAAGGUUCUUGAGAUAUUGUUCUUUCAUGAUCUCUGUAGGCUCGGGUCAUAAGGCCAUGCUUACUUAAACUUGAUUGGCAGCACGCUAACACGAAUAUUAGAAAUGUCAAUUAGUGUUUCACAGUUGGUCUAACUACUCUUGAAUUGAUGUAAAAUUUAAUGCAUUUUCUAUUAUAUUUUGCCUUCUUGGAA